rnacentral:rRNA from 1 species
GACAGAGGGUGCAAACGUUGUUCGGAAUUACUGGGCGUAAAGGGCGCGUAGGCGGCCUACUAAGUCAGACGUGAAAUCCCCCGGCUUAACCUGGGAACUGCGUCUGAUACUGGAAGGCUUGAGGAUGGGAGAGGGAUGUAGAAUUCCAGGUGUAGCGGUGAAAUGCGUAGAUAUCUGGAGGAAUACCGGUGGCGAAGGCGGCAUCCUGGACCAUUACUGACGCUGAGGCGCGAAAGCUAGGGGAGCAAACGGG